GACGACCUCAGAGUAGGUGAGACUACCCGCUGAACUUAAGCAUAUCAAUAAGCGGAGGAAAUC
rnacentral:rRNA from 1 species